UGGGUAUCAAAUGAAAGGGCUCAACAAGCAGAAUACAAUGUACUAUAAAAAAUUGAAAUCCAAGAUGGCGGCCGCUACAAAAUGGCGGAUAACGUAGGUUUUAUCGAUCCCAUCAAUAUGGGUAUCAAAUGAAAGUGCUCAACCAGUAUAAUCAAUGUACUAUAUAAAAUUAAAAUCCAAGAUGGCGGCCUCUACAAAAUGGCAGAUAACUUAGGUUUUAUCAAUCCCAUCAACAUGG
rnacentral:misc_RNA from 1 species